UGACCUCGGAUCAGGUAGGGAUACCCGCUGAACUUAGGCAUAUCAAUAAGCGGAGGAAAAGAAACCAACCGGGAUUGCCCUAGUAACGGCGAGUGAAGCGGCAAGAGCUCAAAUUUGAAAGCUGGCUCCUUCGGGGUCCGCAUUGUAAUUUGCAGAGGAUGCUUCGGAAUCGGGCCCCAUCUAAGUGCCCUGGAACGGGCCGUCAUAGAGGGUGAGAAUCCCGUCUGGGAUGGGGUGUCCGUGCCCGUGUGAAGCUCCUUCGACGAGUCGA
rnacentral:ncRNA from 1 species